rnacentral:misc_RNA from 1 species
GACUACAGUGUAGCCGAGCAAAGUUUGCUAUAUUCGGUGCCGGAGCACCCUACCUUAUCUUACUUUAUUAUUUUAGUAAUUUUGAAUUCUUUUAAUUUAAUAUCAAUUAUUUUUCUAUAGAGAAACAAGCGGAGUUUUCCCUAUUUUAUUUCUAUUUGGCGCAUUUCAUUAUUCACCUGUUUGAAAAUUCAACAAUAUUUUCAUAAUAAAAUCUUAUCCAUACUAAUUAUAAUUAUCUCAUCAAUUCGAAUAUCCUCUAUAUAAUUCAAUUUCAUAUUCAUUUCCAUUCAUUCUCAACUCAUAUAUGAUAAUUUUCAAUCUUUAUUAAUUUACAUGAUAUACAAUUUAAUUACAUAUGAAAUAAUCAAUUUAUAAAUUUACAUCACAUAAAUAUUACGUACAAAUUCUUAAUUUACAUUACAACAUACGAAAUAUUUAUAAUAUACAAAAUACAUAAAAUGAUUAAUGUGAGCUCUAUCUACAUACAUUGCUGAGGAAGUGACAACCUUAAUCACGUCUGACACUUCUACAGAUCUGGACUCCAAAAAUCCCAGUCAAAUGUCUACUGGGUUUUAGCUUCAGUACCUUGUAUGCUAGCUUCAAUCAACCUUCAAGCACCCUUCCCUUCAAUCAAACUUCAAUUCUCCUUGGUAAACCCUUCUUGGCAGAAUUUCUUGCUCUUCCAAGUUUCCAAUUUUUCUUGAUUUCUUGAGUGCUCUCUUCUUUUCAAGGCUAAGUUUUGUGCUUUCUAUUGAUUUCCUAAAGAAAUCAUGUGACAAACCUAGGAAUUCAAGCUUUAUUUUGAGUGCUAAUAGAGAAAAAUGUAAGGAAGAGAGAGCAAGGAUGGACGAAAAACAUGAAGGUGCCUGAAUUUUCUAAAUCUUUCUUUGCUUGUUCAGUUUUUCCUUAUUCCUGCUGCCUCAUAUAUCAUUCCUGAGCUUUUUAAUUUUCAAUCUCCCCUCUGCAAACAAAAAUAUUAAAAACAAAGGCAACAAUAGAACCCCUCUCAUCAAUACUUCAAAACUUGGUUGAAAAGAUAAGCUGAAAACAAAAGUAACAGACCUUAGUAAAUCAACCAAAGAACGAUGCUAUUUUAUUUUUAAUAAAGCACAUGCAAAUGAAGCAUUUUUAUACUAUCAAGAGAUGGAAGUUUGUUAUCAUAGCCAAAAUCCUGAACUAAUUAAUGACCCAAGCUAGGGCCAUUACUGGCGCUAGGAAUCGAGUCAACUUAAAGCUGUCGAAACCCACAACCAGCCUAAAAACUGUAAACAUGCAUUUAACAUCUGUACUAUCAACACUUAAACAAAUUACAAACCAUUACACUUUAAUCUUUUCAUCUAUAUAUAUACAUCUUUUACAUAAAAGUGGUUCAUAAUUUGAACCUUAAUAUAUAUAAGCUCUAAAGUGUAAUGGUUUCACAUUUAUACUCCCAAAAGAGGUUAACAUAAUCAUAAACAUCAUCAUUCAUACUUAAUAUAUUACAUAACUCUACUUUUCUAUAAUUAUCAAUAUAGUACUAUCCAUUCACAUUUUACAUGUCCAUCUACUCAUACAUCAUACAUAAAAAAUAGCGCUAAAGCUACCCCUGUUGCUUUCUCUCUCUAAAGAACUCUUUUAAUCCUACAGACCUGCACCUGGGGGUUAGGGGAAAGAGGUAAGCUUAUACAGGCUCAGUGAGUAAACUAACCAAUAUUAAUUAUAUCAUUCAUUUCAUACAUAUGCAAUGCAUCAUCCAAUUCAUACAUAUGCAAUACAUCAUCCAAAUGGAUAUUCACAUCAUAAAUAUUUCAUGUAGGACAGACUUAUUACUAGUAACUUUCCAAAUCCAAUGUGCUUGGCUCAUACAGAGGCUACUCAGGACUUUCGCUUAACAUAUAUAUCCAAUGUGCCCCGCUCAUACAGAAGCUCCUCAGGACUUUUGCUUAAAACGUGACUUGUGUCAUGCAUUAGGGGUAUCAUAAAGAUCUCGCCUUAGAUUUUAUGGAUCCAUAACAUACAAUAACAUAAUGUAAUCAUAACAUGGGGGGAGCUAGUGGAUCAUCCAUCAUCUAUCAAUGCACCAACAAUAAUUAUGAAAUUAUAUAAUAUAUUCGUGUUCUAGAUACAUACAUCCUAAAUAAAUAUGGCAUGAUACAUGAGGAUGAUCAUAAAUUAAAUUUUAAUAGUUUUCAUUUUAUUAGGGUUAGAGUUAUUCACCUCUUAUAGUCUAUUAAUCUCCUAUCUCCAAUGAUAGCUAUCCUCAAAUCAUUAAUCUUCUAAGUCCCUCAAGCCUGAUCCUGUAAAAUCGGACCCUAGAAAGUUAUAUAAGGUUCUAAAACUCUAUACACAAAUUAAACAUUUUAUUCUAGGCUCUUAGGAACUAUGAAACUAGAUAUUGGAACUUUAGAAAAGAAGGGAGAAAAAGUCAGGCAAAACUACUUUGACUACUGAAGUCUCAGGCUUUAGACAACCCUUUUUGUCUAGUACCGAUUGCGGCUGCCGAAGUCUCAGACUUUGACUUUCGAGCCUAAAAAAUUUUCAAA